rnacentral:rRNA from 1 species
UACGGGGGGCAAGCGUUGUUCGGAAUUACUGGGCGUAAAGGGCUCGUAGGCGGCCAACUAAGUCAGACGUGAAAUCCCUCGGCUUAACCGGGGAACUGCAUCUGAUACUGGAAGGCUUGAAUCCGGGAGAGGGAUGCGGAAUUCCAGGUGUAGCGGUGAAAUGCGUAGAUAUCUGGAGGAACACCGGUGGCGAAGGCGGCAUCCUGGACCGGCAUUGACGCUGAGGCGCGAAAGCCAGGGGAGCAAACGGG